UUGUAGAGAAGAAGAAUCUAUAUAUAUAAAAGGAUAGUGGGCAGGGGUCUGUGAAAAGAGGAGUUGUGAGGGAGGAAAGAGCCCCUUCAGGAGAAGGAGGCUGCCGUUGUGAAAAUUAGAUGAGGAAACAAGUUGAACAAGAUCUCUUAUCUCAAGAAGAGAGAGAGAGAGAGAGAGAGAGAGAGAGAUGGGAAGAGAGAGCGGAGGAGAGAGAAAGAAAGAAAAAGAAGGGAGGGGGAAGAGAGAAAGAAAGAUGGGUGAGGGGUGGGCCUGAGCCUGUCAGUGGCCUGAGGGAACAAGUGGUCAUGGUGGUGGCAGCAGCAAGGAAGGGCCCAGUCAACCACUGCUGCUGUUUUGGGCUACUGAGGGCAUUGGCAGAGGGAGGCAGGCAGGCAGGCAAGGGACAGGCUCGGGCUUGUCAGCAGUCUGAGGGGAAUGAGCGGCCAUGGCAGUGGCGUCAGCGAGGAACAGUCAACCACUGCUGCUGCUGCUCUUGUGGGGAGGAGCAGGAGCAGGGCUCGGGUGGGGAGGUCUCUGGGGCAUAGGAGGUUGUAGCUUGACCAAUAGGUUCCAGCAAUGCUGCAGCUGCAACCAAGAGAGGUGAGGGGGGUGGAAGCAAUGGGAUGGAGGAAGAGAAGCAGGAGUGCAGCUCAGGUGAGGGUGAAGAGAUCUAUGAGAUGUGCUUUAUAACUAGAUUAGGAGCAAAUGGGGCUUUUCAAAUUGGAGCAUUCAUUGCUCUUGAACGAUGCAGGAAUCCAGAGGUGCACACACCCUUCAAGCGUUGCCGUGAUUUAUCAGCGACUCCUCAGUUCAUGCAUCAUGAAUGUGAUAUUUAAGAACCCAGCAGCACAGGGUCAAUCUGGCCAACAUGUGAAUGCAGCACCUCCAUUCCAGAGGAGAUGUGUCUUAAAGGGCUUUAAAAGCCUCCUGUGAAAAACCUCCUGGAAUCAAACUUGACUGAAUUUGUUCAGAAUUCUGAGAAAACAAACAUAGGCUCACCCUGCAUGGUUGAAAGUCUCCUUUGCUAAUCUGCAGCAAGGGGCCCAUUUUAAUAAUUAGUGUUUCUAGUGUGUUCUAGGCAUUAAAAGUAGCACAAAUAUAUAGUAUUCAAUGUAUAUCAUUAUAUAUUGUGAAGUGUGUGUGUGUGUGUGUGUGUGUGUGUGUAUUCAGUGAAAUGUAUUUCUUGGCAGCAUACUUAUUUUGAAAUAUCAGACUUAAAUCCUUGGAAGCCUGGGGUGUGUGGAGGCCCUGGACUUUGUGGGGGAGGGCAUUUUAAAAUCUCUUCUCAGGGCCCACUCCAACCUUGCUACACCCCUGAGCGCAUUUGGCUCCGCUCUUAGAGCUCUUCUUCGAAAACGGAGCACAAUGCAGAGAGCUUCACCAUUGAAAAGGGAGCUGCAUCUGCUGUCCACAGAGCCACCACCGGGUAUUACUUGCUGGCAGACUGGAAGUCACUUAGAUGAACUUCAAGCUCAAAUCCUUGGUUUUGCAAAUACACCAUAUGAAAAAGGAAUUUUUGACUUGGAAAUAGUUGUGCCUGAAAGGUAUCCAUUUGAGCCUCCAAAGAUGCGCUUCCUGACUCCUUUUAAAAAAGGUUUUACUCCCAUAUAAUUCUUCUCUUCUCAUUUGCUCAAUUUUGUACAUCUGUUUUUUGUAUGUUUUGAAUGAGGACAGAAAUGUGAGAAUAAAAGUCCCCUGCCAACUGGGCAAAGAGGCACCUUUUUCUCUUUGUAAACCGCGCUGAGCCAUUUUUGGAAGGGCGAUAUAGAAAUCAAAUUUUUUAUUAUUAUUAUUAUUAUUAUUAUUAUUAUUAUUAUUAAAAAAUUUCUCUGCGGGGGGGGCCCAUUUAAGAAUCUUGUCUCAGGGCCCACUCCAACCUAGUUACGCCCCUGCUUCAGUUGUAUUCAUUCUCCCAAAUUGAUGUGAGUGUUAAGACCUGGAGCUACCAGAACAGCAUGUCUUUCUCUAGUACCAUUAAAUGACUUGCAUCGUCCACAAUUUACAAAACCUUUUAAAAAAUAAUUUAGGAUGAUGUUCUAUUGUGGCACAUAGGUUAUAUAUAUAACUUCAGUAAACAGGGGCCCCAUUUAAAAACCUUGUCUCUGGGCCUACUCCAACCUUGCUACGCCCCUGGUACUCCAAGUGUGACCACACCAUAGUUUUGUAGAAGGGCAGUGACUACAGUAAUCGACUACACUGCAUUGACUACAGUAAUCAAGUGACAAGGGAGACUCUUAGCAGCAAGAGGGUGGGGAAGAGAACAUUUUGCUCAGAGACUGGAGAGAAUAUUAAAGAGUAUUGUUCCUUAGCUUAUUAACUUGCCGUUUACUAUGCAGGAACUGAUAUUAAAAAUGCUUUAAUGCUUACUGAAGCAGGGUAUACGGUACCUAACAGCAUGUUAUUUUGUGCACACUAUUUAACAUUCUUUAUUGCUCCAACUCAUAAGGUUUAUUUGAAAUCAGUGGAGGAAUUCAACCCAUCUCACAUUUACUCAGCUAUUAUCAGCCACUGCAAAAGUGCCAAGCGUAGGGGCAUAAACACAGCUGGACCUGUAGAAUUUAAUAAGGAACUACGUUGUUUUGAGAGAGAGAGAGAGAGAGAGAGAGAUAGAAUCGGCAAAGCUGGCUGCGGAGAUCUUGGGGGCAAAUGCAUGGAAGGCCUGAAUGAAAGAAAUGCUAAAAAUAUCGGUUCUGCACUAUGAAAACCAUCACCACUGAGAUUUCACUCUAUGGGCUGGUUCAGACAUCAUGUGGAACCUCGUUAGAGCUGUGCUCCAUGCAGGGGCCUGUGUCUUUGCUGAUGAAUAGAGAUGCCAGAUCAGAAUGCUGAGGAGCCCCUCGGGGAUCUUUGUGGCAGAGACCUAUGGGAGGAGCAGCAGCAGCAGCAACAGCAACAGCAGCUGCAUAUGAUUCUUCAAUGACACAUGGAGGCUUCAACAGUGCCCCCUGAUUGACAGCAUCGAAGGCAAUCCAUUGAUCAGGAAGCCUUGGCGUGAGGCUUUGAACACAUCUAAUUAUCACUGUGCAAAAUAAGAUGCUGUCGUUCUGUGCAUGGAACUAGGGACCUCUUACACAAAUUCUCAUCACCUUCAUCAAAGGACAAUUCUCAGGAUUCUUUUGGGGAAGCCAUUGCAGUUAAACUGGUAUAAAACUACACACAUUUGUACUCGAGAUAAACCACGAAUUUCUGCUUCCCCGCAUGGGCAGCUUUGGGUAGUUGUGUCCACUUCAAAUAAAAGGUGGGGGAAAUAAUCUGUUUGGUUGCUCUCUUAUAUAUAUUUUUUCAAGAUCUGCAUGUAGAGACAGAGUACUUCAAGGAGAAAAAAGAAAAAACAAUGGGGGUGGGAAUCCCAGCUGAACAUCAAGCAUCUUCUGGAAGUAGCUCACUGUGUCUGAGGAAGGGCAUUGCUUGCUUAAAAAUUAGAUACAGAAGGAAGAUCUGGAACGUAAAGGCAUGGCCUACUCUCAGUGGGUCACAGGCUGACUGCAUCAUGCAAGAAGAAGGAUAUUACACUUGUGCAUGGGGGAGGGAUGAUUUGUGCAGAUCCCCUCCUCCCUGUGCUGCCCCGAUGCCUCUCAAAUAUAGCCUCAAGGGUAGGUGUGUGCACGGGACCAGUUUGGCCAGUUCAGUUCAAAUCUGAACUGGAAUCUUACUGGCCUAGUCCAGUUCCACAUCUGGUUAAACUGGGCCGAACUGUUUCAUGGGAUAUACUUGUAAAAAACAAUCCAGUGUGGAUUACAAGUAAAAGGGCAUUUCCGAGGUGGAGGCAGUGAGAGGGGGCUAGAAAGCUGCUUAUUUACCCUGGUGGCUCAGUAAAGGAGGGGGGGCUGCUUGCUGCACUGGGAGGGCGAGCAGUGGUGAGCAGCUGGGAUAAGUAAGCAGAUUUUUCCCCUCUCACCUCCACUGCCUCAGGAAUGCUCCUUACCAUCCCGAUCCAGUUUGCCCCAAAAAAGGCCCGGUUCAGUUCGAUCACAGACCAAACUACCCCCAGUUUGGUCCAUGAUCAAACCUUCGAACUGGCCCUGGUUCAAGGCAAACUGGUUUCGGACAAACUGUCUGUGCACACCCCUACUCAAGCUUGGGUGGGGGGCAUUCAGGGAUAUAUUUUGUGGAACAUGAAGAGCAGCAGAAGGAAGGAGUGAUUGGUGAAAAACGCACUUUCCUUCCAUGGAUGAGUGAAACAUCCUUCCGCGCACUUGAUACUAGGUAGUGAUAGAAAUGCUGCUGAAGGCAACACAGUCAGUUCAGUGGGAGAAGUUCUGAGUGGGACUACAAUCCACAGAAGUCUGCUUGUUCUCUCAGCAACCCCACAAGCUUCCCAGGCUGCCCAAGGUCACUCCUAGCCCACCCCCCACCUCCUGUUGGUGGGGACUGGGAAUUCCCUUUUUCCAAGCACAGCCCUACUAAAUAUAAGAAAUCACUACUUUAAAAGGUGUGUUUUUGGGCAAGUGAGAAGUUAUGAAUGUUCUGGACCAAGAAAACAGGCAGUGACUGGUUAAUAUCCUGAAUAACACUGCAUGCACGCAGCCAACAGGCUUACACAUGCAGCUGAUGCACUCCUGCUUCUGAAGCAUGAAUGUUCGUGCACAGAAGAGGACAAUUUUCACUGAUCUCACUUUCCCCUGGAGAAUGACUACUAUGUCCCUGAGGAUCAUGCAGCCCUCAGGGACAUAACUGCUUGUGAUACAGAGGGGGAAGAGGAGAUAAGCAAAAUUCCCCUCAUGGGCAAGCACCCACGCUUCAGAAGAAAGAGCCAAUCUCUGCUUUCCUGCUUUGUUUGGUUGCAAGGAUGCUGGCCAUUAUUUUUCCAGAAAGAAAGAAAGAAAAAAAAGGAAGGAAGGAAGGAAGCAUGCAUGCAUUUGUGGGAGGGUGACCCCAAUCUCUUUGUCCUCUAUUAGAAGUAAUAUUAAGCAAUAUUGGUUAUUUUAAAAUUAUGACAGCAAUUUUAAAACAUCUUUUCUGAUACUACCAUCUCCUUCCACUCCCUCUCCUCACGCACAUAUUCAGAGUUAAUAAAGUUACCUGGAAUAUUGAAUGCUGCCUGCAGGGUGUUCACUUGAGUCAUUACUGCUGAUUCUUAGUAAUUUUCUUCACCCUGAGGGUGGCAGUUUAACAUUGUGACCCCCCUCCUCCCCUCCCCUCCAUGAAGCUUUUUACAUUUCUAUAAGCCUUUCAGAAUAAGCCAAGGACUGUGAUUAUGCCGGUGUAAAAAUAGACUUCGGCGCUGAAAAUCACAUUCGUUGUCAUCUGGGUAGUCCACACAAUAGACAGGUAGAUUGUGCGUACAUCUAGUAAGAUGGGAGGCAAACUGAUGGAAAGGUCAACCACAUCUAUAAUCAGCUGAUUCUUAAUACACGUGAAUACUUAAGACAUUUGUUGUGUUUUGCCGUAAUGGCCCUGACAAUAUAGUUACAGGACAUGUGAAGCAAAGGUUCCUUGCCAGUCUCUCAUGCCCAAGGCUAAUUUCUCCAUGACUUAAUGAGACUCCAUUUAAAAACUUAUCAGUUCGGUGUAGAAGUGCCUGUUUAGAAUAUGGUGCUGGGAAUGAAUUGUGUGCGGGGUAUUUUCUAUUCAUAUCUGCAGGAGAGGGGGUUGUUUCACUGCUCCAGUCUGAAAAAUGAGCAGAAUUAGAGGUUCCACUGUAGCAGCAUAAUGGCUCAACAACACAUCAGAGCAGAGGAAGGUAAAUUAGGUCAGCCUCAGCCACAUGCACUCAGACAAGACAAUGUAAUUUAGAAGAUAGUCAUGUUAAAUAUAACUCCAGCAGUGGGAUCAGGGGCUGUCUGUCUAGCUCUAUGGGAUUUCCGCAGAUAUCAGGCAUGUUUUAUUUAUUUGUUUUAUUUUUUAUCCUAUUUCUAUACUGCCUGCAAGUUAAAACAUAGCGAGUGUAAAACAAUAUACGAAACAGUUAAAAUCCACAAGACAAAGUAAAAAACAAUCUCAAAAGUUAGUUAGUUCUCUUCAGAAGAAACCUCAGUUAGUUCUAAAUGCAGCAGCCAGAUUGGUCUCU